CAAGGUUCCUUCGGGGACUGGAGGAGCGGCAAACGGGGUAGUAAGGCAUUGGAAUGUACCCUUCUGUCCAGGAUAGCCACGGGAAACUGUGAGUAAUACUGGAUGAUCUCUUCGGAGCAAAGGUCCGCCGCAGAGGGAGCGGCCAAUGUAAUAUCAGCUUGUUGGUGAGGUAAUGGCUCACCAAGGCUUAGACGUUUAGGGGGUGUGAGAGCAUGGCCCCCACCACUGGGACUGAGACACUGCCCAGACACCUACGGGUGGCUGCAGUCGAGAAUCUUUGGCAAUGGGCGCAAGCCUGACCAAGCGACGCUGCGUGCGGGAUGAAGGCCCUUGGGUUGUAAACCGCUGUCAGAGGGGAUGAAAGCGCAAGCUUGACAGAGCCUCAGAGGAAGCGCGGGCUAAGUUCGUGCCAGCAGCCGCGGUAAUACGAACUGCGCGAACGUUAUUCGGAA
rnacentral:rRNA from 1 species